rnacentral:lncRNA from 1 species
AUGGCGAUGACUAAUCUUAUGAAAUCACUCGAAUAUUUUGAAAAUAUUCGGAGGCCUUUCGUUAUAUUACACCCGUCGCCUAUUUUGAUAGCUUCAGUUGGAUCUGGGUUGGCUUUGGCCCAAUACAUUAUCCUCUAAAUUCCCUGCAAUUGUUUCGAAACGUACACAAUUUUAGUGGCUGGUUAAGUUACCUGGUUGGUGAUUGUGAUCGUAGAAAAGAACGACGUCUGAUAAUUGACGAAGAUGCUUGAGCUUAAAUACGACCCUGUACACGGAUACGACUACUCUUAUGAUGCCAACAGGCCUUACAUUCCCGACUACAGAAUCCACAGACCUUACGAUUUUUAUUUCAAUUGGCCAUGGAGAUACCGUGUUUGGUUUCCUAACAGAGCCUACAGGCGAUUUCUAGAUAGGGAGCACCGCGUGAUUGAGAGAACUAAUUUAUAUGAUGUGAAGAUUUCAACUGAAGUAUACUGAGUCUAUUCAUGUGAUAAAAGUGCUUUAAAUGUGCUAACGAAUUUAAUUAUUUUCAACUCAAAUAUAACUAGUUAUUUGGUUUAUAAAUGAAAAUAUAUGUUAAUAUUAUUAAUUUCAAUAAAAUAUGGAAACAAUAAUAUUUUUCAUUAUUCUGCUCCAUUAUUUCACAAACCAGUAUCUCCACAUUGCAUUCUUGGCCACAUUGAAUUUUUUUUGUUACAAAUUCUGAGGUUGGAUGUAAGUGAAGUCGUUAAUUUCUGUUUGUCUCUAAAAUAUAGUACUUCUGUUUUUCACAUUCAAAUUUAGUCAUGUUCUCGUUUAAAGAAAUUGAUGUUCCUACAAAAAAUAUACACAUUUACUUAUUUCUAGUUUUUAUUCCAUUUUAUUCAUAAAAUUUUUAUAAUGAUAGUGAACUUUUGUAUAAUACUUCACACUGUAUAACACGAAAUAACAGACGUAUAAAUUUACAGUCUAACAGUUUCAUUGAAAUGAAUCGUAGAAAUAGUUGGUAUAUGGGCCAAACAAAUAACUAUGUGGGAACGCGAAUGCUGAAAACUGUGAUGUAUACGAACAAAAAGCCUUGUUCGAAAAAUAUUCUGAAAUUUUCGCUCCGAAAUUUUCUCUGAAUUAUUUCCGAUGAAUACAACUACAAUCCAUUAUUUUAGUGGAAAGUCAUUAAAGACCUAAUGAGAAUCACAUCAAAUCUUGGAUUCAUUUAAGAAUGCUUAUAAUCUGAAAUAUCGCAACUUGAGUUUCUUGGCAGCACACCAAAAAAUCUCCUAUAUCUAGUCACCGCGUGUUCAGAAUAUACACAAAACUGUGGUAUUUUUAUCUGAUAGUUAUCUACAUUCAACUCGGUCUUUCUACACAGAUAUGUUGAAAUUACAAUAUGACCUGCAAACCCCCUACAUACCCCAACGAAAUGUUAUUGAUUACGAACAUGUUCCCUACACCAAAUACUCUACAACGGAUAUUCCUAAUUACAACACGUACAGACCCUUAGAUCGCUAUGACAAGUGGCCAUCUUGGUACAAGGCCUACCUGCCUUACCCAGAAUUCAGGCAUUACCUGAAUAAUUUGCUGAUGAGGGAUUUUGGGAUAAGACGUCAUAAAUAUGUUCACACAUACUGGUAAGGCAAAUCCAAGGAAAUAUUCGUCAAGAUCAGAUAAAAAAAGAUGAAUGGUUGAAUUAUAUACUUACUAUAUUAUUUUCACAACCUUUUAAUUGAAUCAUAUUUAAUCACGCUGUAUCAUAUCGUUCCUGAUGUAUAGUAUACGGAAAUAUAUCUCUGAAUGAAUUACAAAUAGAAAAUUUUUGAAAUGUUAAUGUUAACUCAAAUAUAUAUUCACCUGUACUACGAUGAAAUAUUUAUUAACCCAACAACAUCACAUGAUAUUACUUGGGUACACACAAAAGACUACCCACCCUAACCUGUAUAGAUAUUCUCGACUUGAACAAUCAUCAUAUGUCAUGUUUCUUUGAACCGACAGACUGACUUGAAGUUCAUGAGUUGAUGCGGAAGACUCAACUAUACCGUGUUCUACGAAACAUAUCGUCAUGAGUGACAACAAACGAAUGAACACUGUGCUAAAAAAAGCUAUUUUUCAAUUCUACUGACCAUAAUAUGCACGUUUUUAUGUCUGACGUUUCGUCUACAUUCGCGGUGGACAUUAAGAAAGGUGAUGAGGCAAUGAAUGUAGUACUCUAGUUGUUCUCAAUGCGCAUAUCGCACAAAAGAAUAGUUUGCAUAUCUUGGUGGUGGGUAUGGAAAUGAAUAAUUUUCAAACAGUCAUUGAUAUUGAAAUGCACCACAUGUGAAAGGGUGGAUUGUGAUUUGAGUGGAAAGCCACUUAGAAUAUUCAAGAAAGUGCUGAUAGAACCGAUCGUUUUCGACAGAAACUUGGGAAUGAACUGGAAAGUGAACGUGAUUUUCUCGUGAAGUUUCUUAUCAAUGCUUUUUCCCUUAUCACGUUAUGUAUUAAUUUCUUACUCAAGCUACCUACUUUCAAUUCCAUUAUGAAUAAUAGGUACCUGGGUUGGAAAAAAUUCACUUCUGUGUGGAAGCAUUUUAUUUGAUUCAUAUAAGAUAGAAAUAUCAUCCAUGUAUGUAAUGUAAUCCACACAUUCCUCCAAAAAAUUCGGAGUAAUUUCAAGUUCAAUGUAAUUUUUAUAAAUUUUUCAAAAAUUACAGUCCUCUGCAUACGAAAUGAAUGUAUGUUUUUCGGAAUAUAGUUAUCGAAAUGAUAUAUCUACCGUAGCAUUUUGAAAAGUGAAAAUUCAAUUUACAUUACUACUUUUUUCCUAUUCAAUUCGAAAAUAGUUAUUCGGGAAUCAUGAGUGAAAAUUUUCUAUUUAUUUUCAAACUAGAAGAAAUUAGGACCCAUCUCUAGUUUUCCUCUCGGAGACUUUGAUUGUAUAAAGUACGAUCACAUUUCAAUUGGAAUCUGAAAUUUGAAGAGAACACUUUUAUUAUCGAAAAGUUCCAGUUUGAAAACUCUUAUCAGACAAUGGAAUUCAUUGAACCUUCGAUAAUCGGUAUUUUUAAGAGAAUAGUUGGAUUAUACUCAGUAGAAGUUCACUCUCCAUCACUGAAAAUCGAAUUUGGCCAGAUGCGGGUAUGAAAUAUUGUUAGCCAGGUAUCUGGCACUCGCCCAAUAGAUUUUUCACUACAUUAACGUUAUUUCUAGAAAACAUUUAUUACUUGAUAUCACAGCCAUGGCAACUCAUUGUGCUCAUUUUCUUUUUAGAACUGUAGAGUGAAAAUCAUGCUUGGCCUGCAAUACGAACCUCGAUAUGGUAUCAUCGAUUACGAAUAUUGGCCUUACUCAAAAUAUGUCCCUGUCGACAUUCCUAACUACAGAGUGGACAAACCUCUAGACUAUUAUGAUUCUUGGCCUGCGUAUUACCAGAUUUACGCUCCGAUUCCAGAAUUUAGGAGAUAUCUGAACAAUCUUCUACUGAGAGAUAUGAGGCUCAGGCAAAACGACUACAAACAUACAUAUUAUUGAAAGACACAUAAUUCCAUCAAAUGGUUACAAAUAUGUAAAAAAUGUAUUUAAGAGGAAUGGAAGUAAACAUUUUUGAAAUGAUUUCA